rnacentral:rRNA from 1 species
UACGUAGGGGGCAAGCGUUGUUCGGAAUUACUGGGCGUAAAGGGCGCGUAGGCGGCACGGCAAGUCAGGAGUGCAAAGCCCUGGGCUCAACCCGGGAACUGCUUUGAACUGCCGAGCUAGAGUGCGGAAGGGGCAACUGGAAUUCCCAGUGUAGCGGUGAAAUGCGUAGAUAUUGGGAAGAACACCUGAGGCGAAGGCGGGUUGC